rnacentral:rRNA from 1 species
CACGCCGUAAACGAUGAAUACUAGGUGUUGGGGUAACUCAGUGCCGCAGUUAACACAAUAAGUAUUCCGCCUGGGGAGUACGACCGCAAGGUUGAAACUCAAAGGAAUUGACGGGGGCCCGCACAAGCAGCGGAGCAUGUGGUUUAAUUCGAAGCAACGCGAAGAACCUUACCAGGUCUUGACAUCCUUUGACCACCCAAGAGAUUGGGCUUUCCCUUCGGGGACAAAGAGACAGGUGG